CAGAGGGGCAGCCGGGAAGGAAAGCAGUGAGUAUAAAUACUCACCCUUCGACGCCAACGGCCAUUAUGAGUGCGAGCAGCAGCAGGGGCAAGAUGGACCCGGAAGACUGCAGCUAAGAUGCGGAUAAAGUUCUCCAAGCUGACAGAAAUUGAAAGCACUCGCAUCCUGUGACGAUGGGGUAGGAGUGGAAGAAUCAGAGUGUUUCUUUGAAAAUUGGCUUGAUGUGUCUGUCCAAGGGUCAUCUGGAGGAAAAAAUACAAGUAUAUCUUCAAACAAGUAGCUGAACCCACAGAUUUAUGUGACCAACGAAGCCUGAGCCUUUUGCUUCACGAUGCAGUCCAGAUCCCUCGGCAGCUGGGUGAGGUAGCUUCAUUUGGAGGCAGCACCAUUGAACCAAGUGUCCGCAGUUGCUUCCAACAUGCACUCAGACAUGAACUAAUGGAUAAGGAGGAGACAAUCAUAACUGCUUUGGAUUCAGCCCAUAGAAGGGCCAGAGGAGCCGCGCUGACACCUUCAUGUUUAAACAGAGGACACUUUUCUGCGUGCCACGAGAUGUAUAUCAGCCAUACCAAAAUGCUACCUUUGCCUGAGACAGGGAAGAUCAACUGACUUUGGGGAAAUGGAGAAUCAUUCAUGAAUCCAGUUACUUUCUGAUCUGACAGCUUUGUGGCAUCUGAAUGGAUAACAAUUUGAUCUGAGCAGGUAUUGUCCUGGUCACUUGUAAUGCUGCCAAUUCAAGAUUAACUACAUGGAUGGUCUCUAUCAGUUGCUUAAUCCCCGAUGUCAGUUUGCAAUCCUGAAUCCAAUAUUGUCACUUCAUCUUUCAAUUCUGUGUAUAAUCAAAGUCUGAGAUCAACAGCUUUCAUUUUACUAUCUGGAAGUCAAUCAGUGCAGAUUUUGUUUGUAAACAAGCGUUCUGUAUGUAAAACUGCUUCGUUUAAUUAGAUUAGUUAGUUAAGAUUCAUUUUAAUGAAAUGAAUCAUAACUAAGCUUCAUCUCUUCCUCAUUCUGAUUCUGAACACAUGGUAUGUCACGCAAUGGCAAUUCAAUUUUGCAUUGGUGCCGGUUCAAACCAUGUGUUUUCCAACUACAGAUUGAUAGAGAUGAAAUUGUACCAUUUCCUUUUUAGUACCAUUCUCACCAUACAGUGUUUCUGUUCAUUACGUUUCUGUGCACAGUUCUGAACCAGUCCCCUUGCCCCUGAGCUUGCCAAAUGUCUCAAUGUUGUCAUGACAUUGUCAAAGAAUUCAUUCCUUGGUAGAUUCAGAGAUAAAUUAAUGUAACCUAGUAUGUGUUAAUGCCUCUGCUGUAAUCGGGCGAAACACUCAGGCCAUUGUCUUAAUUUUUCUCUCUUGUAUUUAUAUUGAAAUGUUGACCAUGCCAUUUGCUCCACUUACUGGAAUUGGACUUGUUACAGAAGUGCUGAACGUCAACUUGCCAAAUACAAUUGGAUGAAAAGUAUGAGGCCAAUCAGUCUCUUGAAACACUUUCUCUAUGCAAUCAACAUAACAACAUUCAUUGACAAUGAAAAAUUACGUACGUGCUUCAGAAGAUUAGAUUUGAAACAGAGAUUUGUGAAUAUGAAUGGAGCUAUAUAUGUCCCCAUCUCAGGCACCAACCUCAAGUUCACCUGGACUAUCUACAACACCUCUGUCACCUUCCUGGACCUCUCUGUCUCCAUCUCAGAACCUAACCCGGAAGAGAGAGCCCAGAGAAUUGCCAAAGCUGUCCUCAAACAGUCAACAGAAGUGAAGGAAAAUUGGGAGCAAUUGAAAAUCCAUGCAAGCAACUGGCAGAAACAGGUGGAAAAGGCAUUGGAGAAACUUCAAGAACUGCAGAAAGCUCUGGAUGAUCUUGAGGCUCGUGAUAACAGCUGAGGGGGUCCACACUGAUUGGCAACCUGUGGGUGACCUGCUUAUUGACUCAUUGCAGGAUCACAUUGAUAAAACCAAAAUAAGUGCAAUUACAUUGCACUUCACUUAUGAACAGAUGUAACUGCAAUGUUGUAUCGAGACGAUCAGUAAUAUGAGUACUUAAGUAAUAUUGAUUGAAUGGUUGUUAACUUAAUUUGAAAAUUAAAACUUAGUUGAGCAUG